CCGCAGGGACGGGGACCGCGGGGACGGGGGCCCGGCACCCACCUUGCCGCUCCGGGCCGCGCCCCAGGCGCUCUCCGCCGGCCGCCCCGGGGCCGUGCAGACGAGCAGCCGGCCGCGCCGCGUCGCUCUCCGUCAUCACAGGCAGCGCCGAAUCCUCGACGGCCGGGGCCGCCGGCUCGAAGCGGCCCGGGGGGCGGCCGCGGCGGGCGUCCUCGGGCACCGGCGGUGACAGCGACAGCGGCGGGGCCCGGCGGCGGCGCUGAGGGCCGUNNNNNNNNNNNNNNNNNNNNCCGGCGGCGAGGGCAGACGCUUGGCCUGCGGCAGCACCUCAAGCUCGAGCGGGGCGCUGAGCAGCGCCGGGCGGCCGCGGUCCCGCGCGUAGAGGCGCAGCGGGAUGGGGGCGCGCAGGUGGAGCAGGGAACGGACGAGCAGCACGCUCCCGCUACGCGGCACCACGAAAAAGUGCUCGCUGGGCGGGCGGGCGAAGUAGCGCAGCUCGGCGUUGGCACCCGCGUCUGCGUCCUCGGCGCGCGCCCGCCACACGGCGGAGCCGAGCGGCAGCGUCUCGUCCAGGCGGAGCCGCGCGGGGCGGGCGCCGACGAAGCGCGGGGCGUUGUCGUUGGCGUCCAGCACGCGGACGGUGAGGGCGGCCAGCGGCUCGGCGGGCGCGGCGGGGCGGCGGGCGCAGCGCAAGGCCAGGCGGAGGGCGUAAAGCGGGCGCGCCUCGCGGUCCAGCGGGCGGCGGGUGCGCAGCCAGACGCGGGCGGUGCGGGCGUGCAGCGCCGCCUGGAAGUGCGCGUGGCCCUCGCCCAGGAGCUGCAGGCGCCAGCGGCGGCCCCGCACCUGGGCACACCACGGCUGGGCGCCCAGGCGCGUCAGGGGGACGCUGAGCCCCUGUACGCGCGUGCCCGCCGGGCGGUUCUCCGCUACGCGCCCGCCGAACGACGGCGUCCUCUGCGGGGCGGCGCGGGCAGAGCCCAGCGGCAGAGCGCAGCACAGCAGCAGCAGGCAGACGGCCGCGCGCCGGGCCAUGCCGGCGGCCGGGCGGGCGCUGGGGCGCUGCGAGCAGCCGCGCCGGGACUGAGGAAGGAGGGACAGCGCGGGGGGGGCGGCCCCGCGUCCGAUCGCCGCGCCCUCGGGGCCGGGCCGGCCGGGAGGCAGCGCCGCGGGACGGGGCGGAGGCUGGGGCCGGCACCGUGCGGCGCCCUCCUGCGAGCACAGCCCCGCGGGGCGUCCGGAAGGGAGCUGCCCGCUAGCCACAGCUCCCCCGAACCCAGCUUGUCCCGCCUCCAUCCUUAUUGA
rnacentral:lncRNA from 1 species